rnacentral:rRNA from 1 species
UGGGGAAUAUUGGACAAUGGGGGCAACCCUGAUCCAGCGAUGCCGCGUGAGUGAAGAAGGCCUUCGGGUCGUAAAGCUCUUUAGGUUGGGAAGAAGUAUGGUGGAGGAAAUGCCAUCAUGUUGACGGUACCGACAGAAUAAGCACCGGCAAACUCUGUGCCAGCAGCCGCGGUAAUACAGAGGGUGCAAGCGUUAAUCGGAGUUACUGGGCGUAAAGGGCGCGUAGGCGGCGAUAUGAGUGUGAUGUGAAAGCCCCGGGCUUAACCUGGGAAGUGCAUCGCAAAGCGAUAUUGCUGGAGUAUAUGAGAGGGUGGCGGAAUUUCCGGUGUAGCGGUGAAAUGCGUAGAGAUCGGAAGGAACGUCAAUUGGCGAAGGCAGCCACCUUGGCAUUAAUACUGACGCUGAGGCGCGAAAGCGUGGGGAGCGAACA